UUAUUUCACAAAGUUUUUAAAAGUCAUUAACAUUUUGGAUAUCUCAAAACUUUUUAAGACUCUUUAAAACUCACAAUUGAAUACAAGACUAUUUAUAAGUCACAAUUGAAUACCUUCAAACUUUUAAACUCAUUUAAACUCAUUAAAAGUCAUUAAAAGUUAGAAUUGGAUACACCACAUGACAUAAAAUGACUUUUAACCAAAAUAGAAAUCCUU
rnacentral:lncRNA from 1 species